rnacentral:misc_RNA from 1 species
AAGUCGUAACAAGGUUUCCGUAGGUGAACCUGCGGAAGGAUCAUUAGAUUGAAUUAUCAUUGUUGCUCGAGUUCUUGUUUAGAUCUUUUACAAUAAUGUGUAUCUUUACUGAAGAUGUGCGCUUAAUUGCGCUGCUUCUUUAGAGUGUCGCAGUGAAAGUAGUCUUGCUUGAAUCUCAGUCAACGCUACACACAUUGGAGUUUUUUUAACUUUAAUUUAAUUCUUUCUGCUUUGAAUCGAAAGGUUCAAGGCAAAAAAAUCAAACACAAAACAAUUUUAUUUUUAAUUUAUAAAUUUUUUUUGAAAAUCUAAAAUCCAAAAAACUUCCUAACGGAAAAUUUUUGAAAAACUAAUUUAAAAAU